rnacentral:rRNA from 1 species
AGUGAACGCUGGCGGUAGGCCUAACACAUGCAAGUCGAACGGCAGCACAGUAAGAGCUUGCUCUUACGGGUGGCGAGUGGAGGACGGGUGAGGAAUACAUCGGAAUCUACUUUUUCGUGGGGGAUAACGUAGGGAAACUUACGCUAAUACCGCAUACGACCUACGGGUGAAAGCAGGGGAUCUUCUGACCUUGCGCGAUUGAAGGAGCCGAUGUCGGAUUAGCUAGUUGGCGGGGUAAAGGCCCACCAAGGCGACGAUCCGUAGCUGGUCUGAGAGGAUGAUCAGCCACACUGGAACUGAGACACGGUCCAGACUCCUACGGGAGGCAGCAGUGGGGAAUAUUGGACAAUGGGCGCAAGCCUGAUCCAGCCAUACCGCGUGGGUGAAGAAGGCCUUCGGGUUGUAAAGCCCUUUUGUUGGGAAAGAAAAGCAGCAGGUUAAUACCCCGCUGUUCUGACGGUACCCAAAGAAUAAGCACCGGCUAACUUCGUG